UUCAGAAAAAAAAGAAAGCACAAAAAGAAUUUUUUUUGGGAAGAUUGGAUUGUGCUUAUAAUAUGUUUUGUUAUGAGAAAUUCUUUGCGCACCAUGGGUGACAUAGAAAAUUUGAUGUCGAGUUUCAUUUUUCGACGUGCAUUUAAUGCUUGUAGAUUGGAUGUAUCAUAUAUAUGAAGGGAUGUUUUUGUCCAACAAUUUUUUAUCGUGCAUUUAGGACUCGUUUGGUUGACGGAA
rnacentral:lncRNA from 1 species